rnacentral:lncRNA from 1 species
UGAAGCAUAUAACAAAUGGUAACAAUAAAAACAAAAGAGAAUAGUAAGAAGUUUUUCUGUGAAGGCUGUUCAUGAAAUCCUAAUGGUCUUGUUUUAAGGGGUCCUAAUGUUCUGUCCCACUGCGUCAAUAUCGCCUUUCUUGCUCCAUCCCAUUUUCCAGGUCCGUGUAGUCUGUAUUGGUAUGGUGUGCAUGGUCCAAAGUAACAGUUUAAAGCCAAUUUGGGGUCU